GCUGCGCCACAACGGGAACUCCAAUAACUUAUUUACUUUUUAACAAGGAGAUACCAGGUUUGUCAGAAAAGAAAAGGAAUGGCUGUUCUUUCUGGCUCGGACUAUUUUUAAAAUCUGUAUUUGGGAAAGAGGGAGACAGCGAAAGAGACAAGAUGGGAUUUGAAAGUGGCCCACAUGCCAGAAAGUUCCUCCCUUCAGCGGAAAUAACUGAGCACCUAUUAUGCGCCAGGCCGAGUCCGGCCCUACAACAGAAAUGAGGUCCCAGCUUCAGGGAGACUGAGUUCCUUCCCUCAGGGCCCUGCCUCCAGGCAGCUUUUCUACAGGCACCUCCUUACUUGUCCCAGGUGGCAGGAUGCCACCCUAGAGGGUGGGGCUGUGCUGCAUGACUGGGGGAUGAUUGACAGGCUUCCUAACGAGAUGCAGCUGAGGGAGCGGCUUGCUGACAGAACAAUUUGCUGGUGCCCAGAAUAUCCGCCCAGCUCCACAAAGCGGCAGCCCGGGCGUCAGGAGAAAUUUCAGGAUUUAUCAUUCGCCUGGGUGUCAGGUUUUCUGCGAGCCACACGAUUCCCAUUGCCCUUUUCCAGAUUUGCAGCCUUGACACACUACCCAUGGAGCCGUCCAGAGCCCCAGGAAUAACAUGCAAAACUAUUCCCCCUUUUCCCCCUUUCCAAUCCACUGGUGUUUAUGUAAAUGACUGGAAAAGCAGUUUUCGGCUUAUUUCCGAAGCUUAAGGGCUUCGUGAGAAGCCUAUUAUUGAAAAAAUCAGAAAGUGAAAAGCAACUUCUCAGACAAUGAAUUAGCAGCUCAAUGAGUGUGUGUAAGGCCGAGUGCGCAGUAACUGGCUGCCUUGCAAAUAGGAACUCCCCCGGGAUUCAGUAAUCAAACACGUGGCAACAGGCUGUCUGUUUCAACACAGUGAGUAAUCAAAGGAGAUUUGCAGUUAAUCCAAAUAUAACAGAGAAGUAUCCAAGGGAAGGCCAGGAAGAGGAGAAACUGGAAGAAAGGUGAGGGGAGGGCCAGCUCUUCAGACCCGGAGUCCGCGUGGCGCGAAGAUAACUUUGGGGGGCGGGGCUUGACUACCGGAGCCCUUGAGGCACCAGCCACUCAGAGGCGAACCCCAAGGCUUGGCUCCGGUUGAUGCAAACCAGAAAAUUCACUGGGCACCUGCCUCCUCUGCUUGGCCUGCAAGUGGUCUAGAAAAAUUCCAUUAAGGCGAAAAGUCAUACUAUAUUACAGCGCUUCGACAUCCACGGACCCUGCUGUCGCGUUAACACCAUCCCAGAGACCGGAGCCCUUCAUUGACUAGAGCCCCUGGCUGCAAAGGGAGUUGGGGCUUCAUAAGCCUCAGCUGUCCAUCAUUUCCGACCUGCAAGGACCUCCCUGGGUCGUGGGGGAAGCCAGCCAGCCAGAGACCAAAAGAGAAGCAAAUUCAAUAAAGCAGCAUUGUUGAAAGGAUGAACCUCCAUAAGCAUUGCCUCCUGGAGCAGGUGGAACAGAGGGCAGGAGGAGGGGGUGGUCAGGUGGGCGCCUGGCCCUGCCUGGGAAGUGUGGCUCGUGCUCAGGGAGAGGAAGUCCAUUCUCCAUCCAUCACCAGACUGGAGUCCCUCCUGGUGGUUUAAGGCUAACGUCCCACCAAGGUAGAACCUGCCUGUAUGUCCUGUCUCCCCUCCAUUCCUCUCUGCAAAGGCUGGGUUCUCUGGAGACAAGGUUUGAUUAAAAAGUGUGAGGUCUGUUAUUUUUGAGGGACUUGUCCCUGGGGUGUCUCAACCUCUGCCUAAGGUCCCAGGGAACUCCCUGCAGGCAGGAUGUCCUGGGCUAAGUGACUGCAUUUGCCUGGGUAAGCACAUGAUUGUCCACACUCUGCAGAGUUCCCUGGAGAGGGGAGCUGGGGCAUCCCCAUCUCUCUUGCCCCAUCUCAACACCAUGGCCCCGCAGCCAUGCUGGGCUCACUUGAGCGCCUGGCAUCUUGCUGGAACUCCUAGGCAGGCUGCUGCUGCAGAGACGGGGCCUCUUAGCUGACCUUGGAAUCUGGUGAACUUGAACUCUGCCGUGAUGUUCUUAGCCCUCCUCCUCCCCUAAGUUCUGAAGAGCAGCCCCGAGCUCUCAGUCUUGAGGCACCCAGAGCGACAGAAGAAAGCAAGCCCAGUGGACAUGUGUGGUCCCCUCCACUGGCCCACAUAUUCCCCCUCGUGUGAAAUGGCUUUGCCGGGCCUGGUGGCAGAGUGACUUGGAGCGGAUGCAGCUGAGCCAAGUGGGAAAUGAUGGACUGUGUGGACGGCCGGGACCCGACCAGGACAGCAGCUCAGCCUGGAUAAAGGAUGGCUUGCGGGAGCCACUCAUGGUGAAGGUAGGGGGCGUCCAUCCCAUGAAUCUUCCCCCCCCAUCUUCCCACUCAGCUCCUGCUUCCCUCCCGAGUGUGUCUCUUGGAGUGAACGCUGAACAGGAGCCUGGGCUCUGUCCCCAAAGCCACACACCUUCCUUCAGCCCAGCUUCCCCCUCCCCCUCUCCCCACCAAUGGUGCAUCGGCUGCCGCUUGCUUCUCCCCAGUGGCAUGUGCCAGAUCUUAUCCCGCUGCAGCUCUUCAGGAUGAAAGGAGGAGGGGGUGUUACAUCCACCAGUGAUACGCGUGGCAAUUGGGAGAGGCUUUUGUUGUGUCAUUUCCUACCUCCUUCAGCCUAUUAAGCAAACAAAAGUGCUUGUGGAAUGAGAAAUGUAAAUGGCCCACGCAAGCCGAUUAAUCCUAGAUGUACAAUUCCAUUAAUAAGGCCGCUUUUUAAUAGGCGGCUCUGGCAGCAGCGGCGGGCAGGCCAGGAAUUGAUGUAUUCUCUGUAAUUGUAUUGCAACUAAUAGGAUAUGAGGAAAAUGGUACCGGAGAAGCAGGCCUUUCAACACCGUUUUCCAAUCAGCUGAAAUAAUGACUUGCUGGGGAAAAGCUUUGAGAAGUAACGACACACAAGUAUAGCAUCACCCAGGAGUAGCCGUUAGACUCCAGAUCCUGGCUUGGGGGUCUUUCUCUCAUGCCUUCUGACCUCUCUCUGUCUCCCUGCCUCUUCCGCCGUGGUCACCUGGGAAGUAAGGCCCUAGCCUUGGCAGGUGCAGGGCUGGCUCACUGGCUGAGAGGGCUUUGUCAGCAGAUUUGGAAGCCAGGGGCAGAGAGAGGGGCAGGAUGCUGUUUGAGAGAGAGGAUGCUAGAGGGGAUCCAGCGCUGUCUCUUAGACCAGCUGGCUGAGUGACCUUGGACCAGUCUCUUCCCCUGAGUUCCCUUCCGGCUCCCAAUGCAGGGAAUCUGAGUGUGUUUCCCGAGAGCAGGCUGGGAGGAGGCUGGCAUCCUUACAUUCCAGGGAAGGCAGAGCCAGUGGGUGGGCCCAGGACCUGAAUGCCCAUCCCCUAGAGGCUCUGCAGGGUCAGGUGUCAGCCUGCCUGGCGUUCUAGACGUGGAUAAACUCGUUCAUCACGCCUUCAUUCACACCUCUACUCACUGGGGCCUCUGACGUAGCAGGUGAUGCUCUUAAGUUCUGGCCAGGCAGUGAAUAAAGCAGACCCCCCUCCCCACCAUGGCACGUGCAGUCUAUGGGGUCAGCAAAGCUCUCGCUGAGCCCUCGCCCUGGCUUGUACCAGGCCGGGCCUGCUCCCUGGUGGAGACUGUCCCAGGGCAGGAAGCAGGGCCCCUGGUCUCCGCUCUCCUUGCCUUGGCUGUGGGCGCAGCAGAGCCAAGGCCCCUGCCAGCCCCUCACUCCCCGUGCCCGCCCUCCUGGUCACCGGGUCUCUCUCCUGCCUAUUUGUAUGCGGACUCUGACCCUCCCCUGGUCGCAGGCUGGAGAGUAAAUAUAAAAAGAAAAGGCAAAGCACAUUUCAGUUGAAAUCCCCAAGGAAACUGAUGUGAUUGCUGUACAGAAAUGGUUCCAAUAAGGGCAGAGAGGAAUAUUGCUUUUAUAGCUUUUGGGACAUAAAACAUUUAGAAAAUGUGAUUGACUGGCAGGGUCUAAUUUAUCAUUUAUCUCAUUCUCUCUGCUCGCUCCCUCUCUUCUCCCCACAACACACAGGCGGGCAGACGUGUACAGGCAAACUUUUCUCCCCUCUUGGCUUUCCUUUCUUCUCUCUCCGAGAGACUUGGAUUUAUCAUCGUUCUGUUAAGCAGGAGAACUCCUGUGGCUAUUUAUAAUUAAUGCUCAGAAACCUGCCAAUCCAUUUAAUGACACUGGCAGGUCAUGGCCCCCUUAUAGCUCUCCAUUAAUCAUCAUUAGAACAGCUCCGAGUUUUUACAUUCUUUUUAAAUGUUAAUUCACCUCUGUAAUGCUCCUUUUAGUUAAAACUGUAAAGAGGCAAGUGGCUGGUGCCUUGGUGCUCCCACCAGGGGAAAGGCAUGGUGGAGUUGAUAAAGCCUGGCUGGCUUUCUCUGUUCUUCUGUCCUCCACCCCCUGUCCCCACCACCAGAUGUCAACCCAGUGUGUUCUUUGGCUGCCUAUAUUUAUCUUUAGAAAAAGUGUCUAGUGACAUAACGUUCUGGGCAAACAUACUCUGAUAUCUUUGGACUCCUGGGCCCAUGGCGACAACCUGUGAGGAGUCGCUGGCCUGGUGUCCCCACUGGGUUCUGUAGCUCCUUAAGGUGAUGGGGCAGAAAGGGCUCCAGAGGUAAGUGAGACUGAGAACGGCCCUUGUGGUUUUUCCAACACCCACAAACACGCUGCCCACGCGCAGCUAAAAGGGGUCACAGCCCAUGAAGAAUGUUCUUGGGGUCAGGAAAGCUUGCCACUCGUCUCACUUUUGCCACUAAUGGGCUCUGAGCUUUUGGGCAAAACACUUCCCCUCCUUCUUCAGCUAUAAAACGGGGCCCUUAUCUCCCCUGCCUAAUACAUGAGGUUAAAUCUGUAAAGAUUAAAUGGAGUUGAGAUUGUAUAAAACUUUUAAAAUGGCUGCUCUGGAUGCAAAGUGGCUGGUCUCGCCCCUCCCUGCUUCUCCACACACCUAGCCUGCCCUCCUGCCCUGGAUCAUUCAUACCUCAAACUUCCAUAGCUCUUGCUUUAUAUCAUCUUUUUCAAGCCAGAAAAGCAUAUUUUGAAUCAUCAAAGUCCACAAAGCAGAAAGAAUGUAAAAUUGGGAAUGGGGCGACCCCUUAGUUUGAGUACCCACGCUGUUACUUAUUCGCUGUGUAAUUCUGAGCAACUUGCCUUGCCUCUCUGAGCUUCGGGUCUUUUAUUUUUGGAUCUUGUGUUUGUGAGGCCCCUUGAUCUAGAAAAUCCUGUGAUUUUUGUUCCUGCCCAUGAGUCUGUCUAAAGGGCCACGGCAGUGACUCAGACCUAACAGGGACAAACUGGCCCCUUUGCCCAUCAGAACUCUUACUUUUGCAUUGUCUUGUCAAGCAACAUGGCCUAGAGUUUAGAAUUCUAAAAGGGCAAACACAAGUAGAUGGGGGGGGACAGAAAAUAUAUAUUUAAUUCAGUUUUGACUCUGAUGUCUUUUGACACCACAUACCUUGGUUCCAAACACUUUGCACAAUAGACUUGACCUUGUUUUCAAGGCUGCCUCAAAUCUGCUGGUUGAGCUGGGAUGACCCCUCAGGCGUGAGGGUUCCAGGCACCUAACCCUUUUUAAUCCUUCUUCAAAAUAAGUUCCCCUCAUUUUCUGCAUAAGUAAACUGAGGCUCAAAGAGGAAAUGUGAGGGAGUUCCCUUGUGGUGCAGUGGGUUAAGGACCUGGCAUUGUCUCUGUCUUGGCUCAGGUCACUGCUGUGGCUCAGAUUUGAUCCCUGGCCCAGGGAACUUCCGUGUGCCCUGGGAACAGCCAAAAAAGAAGAAAGAAAGAAAGAAAGAAAGAAAGAAAGAAAGAAAGAGAAAGAAAGAAAGAGGUAGCAUGAGAGUUCAAGGUUCAUGUAGUUUUUACACUGCAGGGUCACAGGGCAAAUCCAGGUCUCCGGAAUUUAAGUCCAGCCUUCUUCUGUUUUUUGGUACCAUUUCAUCUUGUUCCCACCCUUCCCCAGCUUGAUGAAUGAGGGUGACUUGGCUACACCUUGGAUGAAAUACAGACAUAAUUCAGCAGCUGCUCCUGAACUGGCAUGAAUGACUAGUGACCCAGGAUUCGGGCUAAAAAUGUUUUUCCUGGGUCGACUCCUCACUGCACUUCCUCCACGUGGGCUUCAUUUAACAAUGUCUAAGCAAGGUUCCCUGGGGUCUUCUACAGGGAUGCCCACCCUGUUCAGUCUCCCCACCUGUGUGGUCCCAGCACCCCUUCCUCCAGGGACAGCCAUGCCAUCCCUCCCCUCCCCUGUACGCAUCUCCGACACUCCAGGCAGACACCAGUCCCCAAGCUGGGCUUUGGCCAUCUGUUCUGCCCAUCACUUGCAAAUGCAAUAAAACCUGCUUGACAAUCAUGUCAGCACAAAGGGCAGAGAGGGCUGCCUGGCAAAACGCUGUGAAAAAUUCUUUCCUCCAAAGGUUGUAUCAAGAAUAUCCGGGCCAAAAGGAGCUCUAACAGCAAGUGGAGUAUUGUGUCCUCUGCCUGCUUCUCCUUUCAAUUCUUUGCUUUAUUAAUGGAUUUGUGUCAGUUCUUACUUGGUACGAGUUAAUAAUAAUAUGGCCUUGUGAGAGUGCAAUACUGUACACAUUUGAAAAGGCUUUUGCAAAUCUAUUGUCUCCUUAAAUCUUCAUGACUGUGGCUGGAUUUUAGAACAGAAGGCCUUAGAAAAACAUUUACCCCAACUCUCAGCUGAUGAUUAUUGAUGCAUUUAGUUUAGUUUAAGUAAUACAUCCUUAUUAAAUAUAAUUUGGACGCCAUACAAAAGUAGCUUUAAAAAGAUUUAAAGUCACUCACGCCCAAUUACAUUUAAUGUAUUUUCUUCCAAUUUUUUCCCUUACUCUCUGCCAUAGUUUUUAUUAUAUGGUUGUAAUCAUAUCAUUUAUAUCUCAUUUUUUCUUUUAAGAAUAGAUCAGAAGCAAUUUUCUCUGUCGUUAUGUAGUAUUAGUGAACAUAAUUUUAAUUGGCUUUAUUACAUUACAUCAAGUAGAUGUACAGUACCAUUACCCAAUGUUUGGACAUUCAUGUUGUUCUAAUUUGGGGCUGCAAUAAAUAAGGUUUCAGCGAACAUCUCCAUGAACACCGCCUUAUUCCAGGAUUGCUUCCUUAGACCCGAUCAUUGGCAAUCCCGUUGCCACUGUUCUUUUAUUUCAAUCAGGAGAAACUAAGGCAGAGAGAGAUGAAAUGACUCCAGGUCCCAUGGUCAUUCAGAAGAGUAGCACUUGGGAGUUCCCUUCGUGGCCCAGUGGUUAACGAACCUGACUAGGGUCCAUGGGGUUGCAGGUUUGAUGCCUGGCCUGGCUCAGUGGGUUGGGGAUCUGGCGUUGCCAUGAGCUGUGGUGUGAGUCCCAGAUGCAGCUCGGAUCCUGCAUUGCUGUGGUUGUAGUGUAGGCUGGUGGCUGUAGCUCUGAUUCAACCCCUAGCCUGGGAACUUCCAUAUGCUGUGGGUGCGACCCUAAAAAACAAAAAAACAAACAAAAAAAUAGAAGAGCAGCCCUCGGGUCGGAAGUCAGGUCUCUUGUCUCUUGGUUUUCAUCUUUUCCAUUGCAUGGCGAUCUUCGACUUUCUAAAUAAAAGGGCUUGAAAAGUAUCUUGGGUGUCCACAUAAAAGCAAUUUUAGUUUUAGUAUCCAAUGAUUGAGAAAAAUCAUGUUAAGAACUGCCAUGAUUUCCGUAGCACUUGUGAACAGGGUGUAUGAAAUCAAAUGCAGCAGUAUCCUUAUAUAUUGAGAAAUAGUACGAGCAUACUGUUGGGAAGUAUCUAUUCCAUCUGCUGUCGAGGCUUGAUGUGCAUGUGGAUCCUGAACCCCUUUUAAAACUCUUGUCCCCCCUUCAUAUCCCACCCCAAGCUCAGUCUGUUAUCUUUUACAAAGAAAGCAUCCAUCCUGAGCUUUCUGCCAGGAUAUUCAUUCCAAGCUAGAACCUGUGGGAACCACAGUUACUUCUUCCCUCUGGACCUUUCCUGCCCUCUUAAUUCGGACGUAGCUGAAAAGGUAGAUGAGAGAGGGAGGGGCUAUUCUGAAUAUUGAGAGUCAGAACAGACCUGCGGUUGUUUUAUGUGAGGAUUUCAAGGCUUCACAACCUGAAUGAACUGUCUCCAAUAAGAACAGUCCUUUUAUGUGGUGCUCGGUACAAUCCUAAUGGCCAUGAACGCAUUAUUUUCAUUAAUUUUUACAACGUUUCUACGGAGAGGGUGCCACAUUCAUCGUGAUUUUUACAGAUGAGAGAAAACUGAAGAGGGCAGUAGUUCGGGUCUCAUAGAAACCAGAGAUGGGUUGUGGAUUUAAGCCUCGGAAGCAUGGCCCUGGAUCCUGCAUUCUUACCCUCAGGGCCCCCAGGCUCCCUCACCCAGUGCCCCCAGCAUUUGAGGAGUGUGCUGAGGCAGGUCGUGGUCCUUACAUGUUCAGCUCUUGUUCUCAUCCUUACCACGCAUUCACAAGCCAGUUAUGGGGUGAGGGAAAGAGGGGGACCUUUGGGGAUAAUCCUCCCGUUCACCAGCUGGCUCUCAAGAAUCCCCGAGUCCACACUUCCUCCAGCGUAGAAUGAAGGAGUGCUUAUGUUGCUGAAAUUUGGCCUCUGUCCACCAGCCCUGAAUUGAAUCAUGAGACAAGAGUUUGGGGUGAAACGGAAAAAAAUAGAUUGAUUGCUUGGCCAGGAAAAGAGGGCCAUCGGCGUUGGGGUGGGGUGGGGGGGCUAGAACCCUCAAAAGUGUGCCCCUCCUGAGGGGGUUAUGAGGAGUCUUACAGUGUUGUAGGAUGAGGAGGUGUCAUGAAUAGAUGAUUAGGACAUCAUCUGUCCCUUCCGUCCACUCUCUCUGUGUGUCCCCUCGCGUGUACCAGUUCUCCUAAAUGAUUGCAACUCAGAUUCUGCUCCUCUGCGCUCUCCUGAGGACUUCUAUUGGGUUCUCAUCUCCUUUUGCUGAAGACUGUACCCCUUCCCAAGAUAGAAGGCAGCAGACGAGGGCCCUCCAGUCUUUAGCCCUGGACAGCAUCUCUUCUAAAUUCCUGCAGCUUCGAAAAAGCACGGGAUUUAGAACCAGACAGCCUUUAGGUUGAAUCCUGAUUCUACCACCUGUUGUGUGGCCUUGAGCAGCUUGUUUUUUUCUCUCUGGGCUUGGGUUUUGACAACUGCAGGCCAUGUUGAUGGUUAAAUUCCGGAAUGUAUGUGAAAGUGUCUAUGCACGGUGGUCGUGGGACAUAUUUUGCUCCCCAUUUUUGUUUUUUUGUUUUGAAUCUGGUGACCUGGGAGGAUGCCAGGAAGGGAAGAGUUAUCUUUUCACAGAGAAAUUCCAUGUGCUGAACCAGAAUUUGGCCCCAAAUUUCCAACAAGUACAGGUAUGCUUAUUGGACAGUGGAAGUCCCAUUUUAGAAAAUCUAGAACAUGGGUUCCUUAUUAUUUAAUCUCUCUCUCUUGAGCUUGGAGUAAAACCAGUUUUUCUGCCUCCUCUCUCUAGGCUUAACCUUCUCAUUUUCUGGAGUUUGAUAGUGAACCUCCCUAAUAAAGAGCCCCUCUUCCACAAGGAGAUAGGAAAAAAAAAAAAAA